UACAGAGGGGGCGAGCGUUGUUCGGAAUUACUGGGCGUAAAGGGCGCGUAGGCGGCCCGCUAAGUCGAACGUGAAAUCCCCAGGCUCAACCUGGGAACUGCGUCCGAUACCGGCAGGCUUGAAUCCGGGAGAGGGAUGUGGAAUUCCAGGUGUAGCGGUGAAAUGCGUAGAUAUCUGGAGGAACACCGGUGGCGAAGGCGGCAUCCUGGACCGGUAUUGACGCUGAGGCGCGAAAGCUAGGGGAGCAAACGGG
rnacentral:rRNA from 1 species